AACACAAUGAGGUGAACAGUUUCAAUUUUUUUCUUUUUUCGAAACACCUCGUCGUCGACUCUUACAAGUUUCCAUUGCCUCUUGAGAUGGAAGUACAUGAGAUCCAUUUACUUGAAUCAUGAUUUCAACAUCGCAGUAUUUCUUCUUCUCCUCGAUCGGUCACUUCUUCAUUUCGUAUCUCAACAAGGAGGCUUCGUAACAAUCCAAGAAGAUGAAUCCUACUCAGAUCCAGAUGAAUUUACACUUAGAUAAUAUACACUCGAAUCGAAUCUUAAUGUGCUCACCUCAUAAUGUGAAGAUCCAUCAUAAUCAUCAUGAGAAGAUGCAAAAAGAAGAUUAAUAUUCAGAUGAUGCAGAUGCUGUGAACGCUCUGAAUGACCUGAUUUUAUGGUAGAGAGGCUGAGUUAUUGCAUAAAAAUGGGGAGGAUGGGGUAGUGUUUAUAUUCCUAUUCCAGAGUAGGGAGAUGAGUUUAGUAAGUCAGCUAGUAAGGGGAAACAUAAAGCUUCAACUUAAUGGUAAGAACCAUAUGAAUUUAUGCUUAGUGAUCCUAUGUCCUCUUAGAAUGGAGUAACUGCUAUGUCGUGGUAUAGCGAUCCUGAGCUGUUUAUGUACUAUGUAGUUGCAAAGUUUACAUGACGAGGGUCAGUAUCUCUCUUCAUGAUGUUAUUUAAAUUUCUCUAAUCAUCCCUCCUUUGACUAUGGCAAAAAGUGCGAUUUUGACACA